rnacentral:rRNA from 1 species
GACGAACGCUGGCGGCGUGCUUAACACAUGCAAGUCGAACGGAAAGGCCCCUUUUGGGGUACUCGAGUGGCGAACGGGUGCGUAACACGUGAGUAACCUGCCCUUGACUUCGGGAUAACUUCAUGAAACUGGGGCUAAUACCGGAUAGGAAUCCUUGCUGCAUGGUUGGGGUUGGAAAGCUUCGGCGGUUUUGGAUGGACUCGCGGCUUAUCAGCUUGUUGGUGGGGUAGUGGCUUACCAAGGCUUUUACGGGUAGCCGGCCUGAGAGGGCGACCGGCCACAUUGGGAAUUGGAUACGGCCCAGAAUCCUACGGGAGGCAGCAGUGGGGAAUAUUGCACAAUGGGCGGAAGGCUGAUGCAGCAAAGCCGCGUGCGGGAUGACGGCCUUCGGGUUGUAAACCGCUUUCAGCAGGGGAGAAGCUUGUGGUGACGGUACCUGCAGAAGAAGCACCGGCUAACUACGUG